GAGGGGACACAGCUGGGACAGCUGACCCCAACCGGCCAGAGGGAUGUUCCAGUCUAUAUGGCAUCAUGCUCAGUAUAUAAAUUAGGGAGAAAAUGAUCAGGAGAUGCUGCUCAGGAACUGACUGGACAUCAGUCGGCGAGUGGUACCUUUGACCUCUGACAUAUACUGAAGAAAAGCCAAGGAAAGGCUGGUAGAGAGUGAAACCUUGAUGAGACUGCAGUUGUUCCACCAGUAUCCUUGCAGCCAAGAGGAGGAAAUGUGGAUGGAAUGGAUGAAUUACAAGAUGUAUUGGCUUGAUUUUGAACUUGUAAUAAUGACGUCUACUAUGAAGAAAAUGUGGAAUUACCCUGUCCUGGAGAGCUUACAGGUUGGCCCUAGACAGGGAGAGAACGAUGGGGUGGAGAGAAAUAGAGGA